GUAGGGAAUCUUGCGCAAUGGGCGAAAGCCUGACGCAGCCAUGCCGCGUGAAUGAUGAAGGUCUUAGGAUUGUAAAAUUCUUUCACCGGGGAAGAUAAUGACGGUACCCGGAGAAGAAGCCCCGGCUAACUUCGUGCCAGCAGCCGCGGUAAUACGAAGGGGGCUAGCGUUGCUCGGAAUUACUGGGCGUAAAGGGCGCGUAGGCGGACAGUUUAGUCAGAGGUGAAAGCCCAGGGCUCAACCUUGGAAUUGCCUUUGAUACUGGCUGUCUUGAGUUCGGGAGAGGUGAGUGGAAUGCCGAGUGUAGAGGUGAAAUUCGUAGAUAUUCGGCGGAACACCAGUGGCGAAGGCGACUCACUGGCCCGAUACUGACGCUGAGGCGCGAAAGCGUGGGGAGCAAACAGGAUUAGAUACCCCAGUAGUCC
rnacentral:rRNA from 1 species